AGUGAACGCUGGCGGUAGGCCUAACACAUGCAAGUCGAACGGCAGCACAGUAAGAGCUUGCUCUUACGGGUGGCGAGUGGCGGACGGGUGAGGAAUACAUCGGAAUCUACUUUUUCGUGGGGGAUAACGUAGGGAAACUUACGCUAAUACCGCAUACGACCUACGAGUGAAAGCAGGGGAUCUUCGGACCUUGCGCGAUUGAAUGAGCCGAUGUCGGAUUAGCUAGUUGGCGGGGUAAAGGCCCACCAAGGCGACGAUCCGUAGCUGGUCUGAGAGGAUGAUCAGCCACACUGGAACUGAGACACGGUCCAGACUCCGACGGGAGGCAGCAGUGGGGAAUAUUGGACAAUGGGCGCAAGCCUGAUCCAGCCAUACCGCGGGGGUGAAGAAGGCCUUCGGGUUGUAAAGCCCUUUUGUUGGGAAAGAAAAGCAGCAGGUUAAUACCCCGCUGUUCUGACGGUACCCAAAGAAUAAGCACCGGCUAACUUCGU
rnacentral:rRNA from 1 species